GAUGAACGCUGGCGGCGUGCCUAAUACAUGCAAGUCGAGCGAACGGACGAGAGGCUUGCUUCUCUGAUGUUAGCGGCGGACGGGUGAGUAACACGUGGAUAACCUACCUAUAAGACUGGGAUAACUUCGGGAAACCGGAGCUAAUACCGGAUAAUAUUUUGAACCGCAUGGUUCAAAAGUGAAAGACGGUCUUGCUGUCACUUAUAGAUGGAUCCGCGCUGCAUUAGCUAGUUGGUAAGGUAACGGCUUACCAAGGCAACGAUGCAUAGCCGACCUGAGAGGGUGAUCGGCCACACUGGAACUGAGACACGGUCCAGACUCCUACGGGAGGCAGCAGUAGGGAACCUUCCGCAAUGGGCGAAAGCCUGACGGAGCAACGCCGCGUGAGUGAUGAAGGUCUUCGGAUCGUAAAACUCUGUUAUUAGGGAAGAACAUAUGUGUAAGUAACUGUGCACAUCUUGACGGUACCUAAUCAGAAAGCCACGGCUAACUACGUG
rnacentral:rRNA from 1 species